rnacentral:ncRNA from 1 species
ACCAAGGAGUCUAACAUGUGCGCGAGCCGCGGGGCAGUACGAAACCCGUAAGGCGAAAUGAAGGUGAACGCCGGCGCGGUCCGGCGGAGGUUGGAUCCCGUCCCGUCGGGGCGGGCGCACUACCGGCCGAUCUUCUCCGCCCUGUCGGCGAGGUCGAGCGAGAACGUGCAAGUCGGGACCCGAAAGAGGUGAACUAUGCCUGAGGAGGUUGAAGCCAGAGGAAACUCUGGUGGAGGACCGUAGCGAUUCUGACGUGCAAAUCGAUCGUCAAAUUUGGGUAUAGGGGCGAAAGACUAAUCGAACCGUCUAGUAGCUGGUUCCCUUCGAAGUUUCCCUCAGGAUAGCUGGCGCUCUGUCGCAGUUUUAUCUGGUAAAGCGAAUGAUUAGAGGUCUUGGGGGCGAAACGCCCUCAACCUAUUCUCAAACUUUAAAUUGGUAAGAAGCCCGACUCGCUCGUUUGGAGCCGGGCAUGGAAUGCGAGUGCCAAGUGGGCCACUCUUGGUAAGCAGGACUGGCGAUGCGGGAUGAACCGAACGCCGGGUUAAGGCGCCCGACGCGACGCUCAUCAGAGCCCACAAAAGGUGUUGGUUGAUAUAGACAGCAGGACGGUGGCCAUGGAAGUCGGAAACCGCUAAGGAGUGUGUAACAACUCACCUGCCGAAUCAAUCAGCCCUGAAAAUGGAUGGCGCUGGAGCGUCGGGCCUAUACCCGGCCGUCGCGGCGGUACGAGCAUCGAGUUGGUGCGCUAGGCCGCGACGAGUAGGAGGGCCGCGGCGGCGGGCGUAAAAGCCUAGGGCGCGAGCCCGGGUGGAGCAGCCGUCGGUGCA